CAGCAGCCACGGGAACACGUAGGGUGCAAGCGUUAAUCGGAAUUACUGGGCGUAAAGCGUGCGCAGGCGGUUAUAUAAGACAGAUGUGAAAUCCCCGGGCUCAACCUGGGAACUGCAUUUGUGACUGUAUAGCUAGAGUACGGCAGAGGGGGAUGGAAUUCCGCGUGUAGCAGUGAAAUGCGUAGAUAUGCGGAGGAACACCGAUGGCGAAGGCAAUCCCCUGGGCCUGUACUGACGCUCAUGCACGAAAGCGUGGGGAGCAAACAGGAUUAGAUACCCGGGUAGUCCCUGUCUCUUAUAA
rnacentral:rRNA from 1 species